rnacentral:rRNA from 1 species
GACGAACGCUGGCGGCGUGCCUAAUACAUGCAAGUAGAACGCACAGUUUAUACCGUAGCUUGCUACACCAUAGACUGUGAGUUGCGAACGGGUGAGUAACGCGUAGGUAACCUGCCUGGUAGCGGGGGAUAACUAUUGGAAACGAUAGCUAAUACCGCAUAAUAUUAAUUAUUGCAUGAUAAUUGAUUGAAAGAUGCAACUGCAUCACUACCAGAUGGACCUGCGUUGUAUUAGCUAGUAGGUGAGGUAACGGCUCACCUAGGCGACGAUACAUAGCCGACCUGAGAGGGUGAUCGGCCACACUGGGACUGAGACACGGCCCAGACUCCUACGGGAGGCAGCAGUAGGGAAUCUUCGGCAAUGGACGAAAGUCUGACCGAGCAACGCCGCGUGAGUGAAGAAGGUUUUCGGAUCGUAAAGCUCUGUUGUAAGAGAAGAACGGGUGUGAGAGUGGAAAGUUCACACUGUGACGGUAUCUUACGAGAAAGGGACGGCUAACUACGUG